rnacentral:rRNA from 1 species
GAGUUUGAUCCUGGCUCAGAAUGAACGCUGGCGGCGCGCCUAACACAGCAAGUCGAGCGGAAAGGCCCCUUCGGGGGUACUCGAGCGGCGAACGGGUGAGUAACGCGUGGGCAACCUGCCCGGAAGUGGGGGAUAGCCUCCCGAAAGGGAGGGUAAUACCGCGUACGCCCAUCGGGACACAAGUCCUGUUGGGGAAAGGUGGGGAUCCUUCGGGACCUGCCGCUUCCGGAUGGACCCGCGUCCGAUUAGCUUGUUGGUGAGGUAAUGGCUCACCAAGGCCACGAUCGGUAGCCGGCCUGAGAGGGUGAUCGGCCACAUUGGGACUGAGACACGGCCCAGACUCCUACGGGAGGCAGCAGUGGGGAAUCUUGGGCAAUGGGCGGAAGCCUGACCCAGCGACGCCGCGUGGGGGAUGAAGGCCCUUGGGUUGUAAACCCCUGUCAGGGGGGACGAGCUCCUUCUGGUUAACAGCCAGAAGGUCCGACGGUACCCCCAAAGGAAGCCCCGGCUAACUCCGUGCCAGCAGCCGCGGUAAUAC